UACGUAGGGGGCUAGCGUUGUCCGGAAUCAUUGGGCGUAAAGAGCGCGUAGGCGGCCAGAUAAGUCCGGUGUGAAAGUCAAAGGCUCAACCUUUGAAUGCCGCUGGAAACUGUCUGGCUAGAGUCCGGGAGGGGCGAGUGGAAUUCCUGGUGUAGCGGUGAAAUGCGCAGAUAUCAGGAGGAACACCGGUGGCGAAGGCGGUUCUCUGGGCAUUACCUGACGCUGAGGAGCGAAAGCAUGGGGAGCGAACAGG
rnacentral:rRNA from 1 species